rnacentral:lncRNA from 1 species
GUGCUGAGAAGGUGAUCAGUGGCAGAAAGAGCGGAUGACGGAUGGGGACCAGCAGACAGUGAGGAGCUCAACAUAACAGGGAAAAGGAGCACAGGAUGCAGCUACUUAGAGGGUGUUGAUUGAAAACUUCGAUCUCCCCACCCCAUCACGGUUGAUUUGACGGAUUUCUCACCUCGUUCACAGAGAAAAUUUCAAUUAAGGUCUUUGAUUACUUGAGAAAAGUGAGUGAGGUGGGGCCAAGAUGGUUGACUAGAAGCAGCUAGUGUGUGCCACUCUCACAAAUAGCAGGAAGAGUGGUGAGACACUAGCUCUUCAACCGGAACAUCCAGGUGGACACAUAAGGAUUCAUCAGUGACAUAGUGUGACCUUCGGAUCACGGAGAAGAGUGAGACAGAUCAACCAUUCACCCAGGAGUGGCACAGACCCAGGGGAAUCCCCCUACAAGAAAAUGGUGAGUGAGUGAGAGUCCCGUGGGAUGCAUAUUUCUGCCACGAACCUUUGAAUCCCUGGGCUCAGGAGAUACCCCAGCUGGGGUCUCCAGACCAAAACAGAGAGCCAUGUGGAGUCUGGGUAGAGCUGCUUCUU